CUGUGUGCACCAUGGCCUGGACCCCUCUCCUCCUUGUGCUCCUCUCUCACUGCACAGGUUCCUUCUCCCAGCCUGUGGUGACUCAGCCGCCCUCCAUCUCUACAUCUCCAGGAGCCACAGCCAGACUCACCUGCACCCUCAGCAGUGACAUCAAUGUUGGCAACUCUAUUAUAUCCUGGUACCAGCAGAAGCCAGGGAGCCCUCUCCGGUAUCUCCUGUGGUAUAAAUCAGACUCAGAGAAGCACCAGGGCUCCGGGGUCCCCAGCCGCUUCACUGGAUCCAAGGACACCUCGGCCAAUGCAGGGCUCCUGACCAUCUCGGGGCUGCAGCCUGAGGACGAGGCCGACUACUACUGUCUUUCCUAUGGUGGUGGUAAUCACACAGUGAUGCAGACUCAGGGAGAAGUGACACCCAAACCCCCAGAGCUUCCCCUUCUGGGUCUGCACUCAGCCUGUCCCCACCAAGCAGGCAGUGGCUUCAGUGUAGACGACUACCACAUUCGCUGGUUCCAGCAGAAUCCAGGGAGCCCUCCCCGGUAUCUCCUGUGGUAUAAAUCAGACUCACACAAGCACCAGGGCUCCGGAGUCCCCAACCGCUUUUCUGGAUCCAAAGACACCUCAGCCAAUGCAUGGCUUCUGCACAUCUCUGGGCUGCAGCCUGAAGACGAGGCCGAGUAUUACUGUGCUAUAUUUAAUGGCAGUUGGAGUGGCUACAGUGACUCACAGGGGCUCAGAUGA